rnacentral:lncRNA from 1 species
AAGGGGUCGAUUUCCCCAACAACAGAGGGGAUGAAAUUCCCGAAAGAAUGGAUGUUAGAUAGAUAGAAGAUCAAUUUAUCCUACAUUUGAAGUGCCUAAAUUAUUGUCUAACUUCUUGCUGCUAUUUUAAUUUUCUGUUUUAUAAUAUUUUUAAGUUGUCUGGUAUCUAGUCCAUUCUUAUUACAGGUCCUGUUUUGAAAUGAUACUAUUUUGUAUGAUACUGACUCAUACAAUUGGCUCUUUCUUUUGACUCAAACAGUUUUUGUCUUAUACAUGUUAAAAUCAGUCUUCCACACACCAGACAAUCUGUUCAUUCUUGCCUCCUAAGCUAGCCCUGUGCUGCUAUAAAUGGUAUAUUGAAAUAGUCCUGAGUAAGUGGACUUACAGAAUUGCAAUGUAGCAUAUUAACUAGGCAUAAAAUGGCUUUGUAUUUCUAGGAAAGAAAGUGAAAAAUAUCCUUGCUAAUCUUUAAUAUACUGACUUUUCACUUUGUCACCUAUGUCUGGUAUUUCUAUUUUAUGGAGUAUGUUUUAGAAAGUCAAACUGGCGUGAGAGAGAGAAAGAGGGUGGGAGAGGGAAAGAGGGAGACACUUAAAUUUUUUAGAAUGUGGCAGGAAUUGUCUUCUGCAACAAAGUAUAUCACUAUUUGAGAUAAGAAAGAAAACCAGGUCCAUUAAACCGAAAUGGAUACUCACUCAUAACUCUUUUAUUCAUUUGAUGUUAUGGUAUGGAUACAUGUUUACUCCAUUAGGUUCUGCCUGCAUUGAAAUUGAAACAAACUAGCAUAACAUCAGUUUCCUUACUACUAUGUUUUUGACUUUCCUUUGCAUAGAGGUGGAUAUUCUUUUGUGAACUUACUUGAAUUUCUUGAAAAUGUCUGUAAUGUUAUGAUUGCUUCAGUAACAAUUUCCUCACAAUUUUGAAAACAGUAUGGCUGUUUUAUAUUUUCCUGAACACCCUGAAUAUUAGUAAAUAUUAUUUAAGCCUUCUAAAUGAUUAUUGGAAUAGUGGGUCUUAAUGUUAUUCUAUGCCUGUAUUCCAAGAGAGACAACCAAAGGGCUCAUGUUGCUCAGAAGCAUAUUCAUUUUAACACAUUUUAUUUUAUAAAGAUGGUUGUCAUAAUAGCUCCCAUCUACAUGUUCUUUUGCAAUGUUACCUUGUGCCUCCCCCAUCAAAAAAAUAGUUUCUUUCUCCACCCCAUUGAAUCUGGUGGGUCCUGUAAUUGCUUUGACCAAUAGACGAUGACAGAAGUCAUAGCUAAUCUAUCCAUCAGAUUUAGCUAGUACAAUAUCUAGGGGCCAUGACACUUUUAGGGACCCAUGAUAAUGUUUUCAUUUCUCUUAAAAUCAGAAUUAACAAAUGAAAAUGAAAAUUUAGAUUUAAGAAAAUGUUUGAACAUUUGUUUACCUUUCUAUUAACACCAUCAUAAAAUAUAAUUAUAUGUAUUUAAAUUUAUUUAUUUAGUUGUUUGUCUAGUAGAGGAAGAUACCCAUGGAAGUAAAAAUGCCUACGGCUCAUGAAUAUCAGCCCUGGAGUAAAUGAUAUGAUGCCAAAUCUUAAUGGGCCAGGCAGCUUCUGCUUCCUGCCUUUUGGGAUAUUUGUCCUUGGGAUAUUCCCUCUCAAAAUCCAACUAUCAGACUGAGAUACAUCCAAACUAAUUGGAAAAGUCUUUAACAGCUGCACCUCAGCUCUCAGAGAUCAGCCAGUAUUCUGUCAACCAUGUGAGAGGGCUAUUUUGGUUGUCCAGCCCAGUCAAGCCUUCAGAUAACUUCAGCCUAGGUAUUACCUAAUGGCACCUGCAUGAGAGACUUCCUGCAUGAUCUGCCCAGCUUAGCCCAGUCAACCCAAAAUAUUGCAUAUGACAAUAGUAAAAGGCUGUGUUUUAAGUCACUGUUUUAGAGAGAUUUGUUAGGUGACAACAGGUAACUGAAACCUUGAUUCAUUCAUUCAUUUACAAUUUAUUGAGAAUUUUGUAAUGUGUUCUUUGGGAUACUAUGAUAUAAUAUUAAUAUAAUGAGGACUCUAUUGAUGAGUCUACCCAGAUCAACUGCUUCUUUAAAACCUUGGAGAGUGGAGGAAACAUGAAUCAAGGUGAAUGUUAACUAUACUCAAAAAGGAGAUGUAAGAUUAGUUUUAAGUAUAAAAAAUGUUACAGAUGACAGUAUCUGAAAUUCAUUGAAAGAAAAAUAUCUUCAUUAUUGUAAAGCCCAUUUGUAUGUUAAUUUUUUUUUUUUUUCUUUUUAGGGCUACACCUAUGGCAUAUGGAAGUUCCCAGGCUAGGGGUCUAAUUGGAAAGGUAGUUGCUGGCAGGCCUACACCACAGCCACAGCAAUGUGGGAUCUAAGCUGUAUCUGCAACCUAUACCACAGCUCAUGGCAGUGAUGGAUCCUUAACCUACUGAGCAAGGUCAGGGAUCAAACCCUCAUCCUCAUGAAUACUAGUCAGGUUCAUUAAUCGCUGAGCCAUGACAGGAACUCCUAAAAUAUAUAUUUUUUAAAUAAAAAUCAUUCAAACCCUGGUUCUACUAUCUUCUAGCUGUAUGUUUAUGAUUAUGUAUUUUAAAGAGUCUGUGCCUCAUUUAUCCGUGGUUCAUUUGGUUGUUGUGAGAAUUAAAUGAAUCAAUAUGUGCACAACUCUUAGGACAGUGCUGCAAGAUAAUGUGUGUAUAUUAGCCAUUUAAUAAAUGUUAGCUGUUUGUCUGUAUUUAUACUCAUAAGCAUGUAAUUAACAUCUAGAACAAAUAGGACUUGAUGGAAAGAAAGCAUGAACCAAGUGCCUUAUCUUCUUACCAUAUAUUUCAACCAUGAUAUAUUAAAUCCUCCUUUCAGAAGAUUUGUUUUCAGAGUCCUUUUUCUGAGAAAAGGGGCCUUAUUAUUUACAUCAUAAAAAUUAGCAUGAACUACAUGUUUGUGUUGGCACCUCUCAAACCCAAUUCCCAGGGGAGGGAAGUACAGUCCAGACAGAUGCUGUUCUUGUGUCAAGCUGAGGAAUCCCAAGCUUAUGGAACUUCAAUCUUUUAUCAGGAGCUACAAACAAAUCUUCCUGGUCUUUGUUCUGCAGGAAAAGUUUAUCUAAUAUUUACUGAGUACCUCUCAUGUGCUUGGUCCUGCAAGACCCCAUAUGAGUCAUUUCAUACAGAGUAAAUCAUUUAAACCUCCACAUAAACAAAACUAUGAUAGAGGUAUUGGAGAUGUUCAAGAAGGAUACAGAACUUAACCCUAGUUACAGGGCAUUGGAGGACAAAUCUGGAAUUUGAUCCGAAUUGGACUUUUUUCACCUGGCAUUAAUUCUACCUUGUUGUCUAGGGAAAAGAAAUAAUGGGGAAACUUCCUCAAAACCCACAACAUAAGAAAGAUAAAUCCAACUAUUCUCUAAACAUGUGGAUUUACAUGUUUAGAGAAAGUUGAUAAAAUAUUUUGGAUUUACACAGCUCUGAGGUCGAGGAAGGUGAAGUGUCAGCCCCCUGAUUGUUACCGUCCUUGAGGCAAGCAGACUCAGUGCUAGGAUUCAACAAGUGGCCUCGGCUCCAGUUUUCCAUCCCUGGUUUUUUUCUCUUGUUUCACUGUUUCGCUCCUUAUGCAUAGUUAGAAAGCUCUCAGGGAACUGAAAUUUCCAGCCCUAUCCAAUGCACAUUGCAUUGACUAGACACUCAGUCAUUUCAUGUUUUAUCCUCAGACUUAAACAUCUUGAGCAGGUAGGAUAGUAACAGCAAAUGCUCAGAGUAUUUACACUGUCUUAUAGGCAUGGUUCUGUGCCUUUACAUAUUUUAACUCAUUUUGUACAAGAACUUUCAUAAUAGGUACUACUAUUAUCCUCAUAUUUCAGAUGAGGACUUUGAGAUAGGAGAGGUUAAAUAACUUUUCUGAGACCACACAAUUAGAUAAGUGUUAGGGAUAAGAAUUAAAUUUGGGCAGUCUGGUUCAUAGUCUGUGCUCCUAAGCAUCCCAUUACUGCUAUCAAAAAAGCACAUUUUAUUGUUUCUUCCAUGUUGUUUCAUAUGAGGCUCUAGGCAGGCUCUCAGAGCUUUUGCUGCCAACUUACACCCUCAAACCACUCCUAGAAACUUUUUUUUUCUGUAUUUAAAUCAAUUACUCUUCCUAGAGAAAGAUUCAUUUCAGAUCAUUUUCAGAAUUUUUACUGUUUUUUGGUUGCUUGACUUAGUGUUUACAAAACGCUUAUUCCAGUAUCCCUCUUAAAUGAUUCAAUCUCAAAGGCUGAGCCUAACAUUAGAAACCUUAGAAAAGAAAUAUACAUGAAUCAUACACAAUUAAACCAGUGCAAUUUCAUUUGGUUCUAUUGACAACUUGCAGGGCCCACAAAAUUUUAAGGUGAUUGGCAUGCCUAGCUCCUCAAUGGAGAUGAAAAAUAAUAAAGAAGAGUUUCAAUGUUGUGUAAAACAAAAAUGGUAAAACAAGACAUCUUGCCGUUCAAGGAUGACUGCAAACCAUUCUAGAUAUACAAAAGGAACUCUUAGAAUCAUAUUUUCAUAAAUUUUAUGCAAAACUUUAAUUGAACCAUAUUGAAAUAUAUUAAAUAUUUGAGAAUUUUCAUGUUCAUGCACGUACUGGAAGCUCUUAAGAAAGGCUAUAUUACAUGAGUUAUAAAAAGUUCCAGGAAAUGAAUUUCCUUUUCAAAUAAUUAGCUAAAAUUUUGAAGUCAUUAAUUUUUUAAGUAUUUUUGAACUGAAACACAAAUGUUGACCAACCUGUUUUCUUAUUUCCUUCUGGGUCCAGCAACUCUCUGGUUUAACUUGGAGAACAUAAUAGGCUUUGACUAAGUAUGCAUUGUGUUAUUUUAAAUAUUCUGUGGGGAGAAAAUCGAUUAUUUUUCAUCACAUUCUAGUUGGAAAAAGAAUAUUAGUGUAUACAGGAGGAAAAUAUAAAGACUCAGACAAGAUAGUAGAAGGUAAUUUCAUGUUCAUUUUUUUCAGUUACAUUAGAAAAUGGGCCAAAAUGUGAAUGACAUAAUUAUAGAAGUAUUUACAUUAAUUGAGGUCGCAUCACAAAAAAAGUGACCUUACAAUUUUCAAAAUUGCUGGUAGUACUGUGCAGAUUAGUCAGUAUAAUGAGCCUCUAUUUUGAAACCCAAGAGAAAUAGAACAACAUGGUCAAAGCUGUGAAUUUUUAAUGCAUAGUUCCUGAUUCUUUUAGAAUUCUGGAAAUAAUACAUUCCCUCCCCCUGCCCCAUACAUACUUGAGAAGACCCACUGACCAAAGGUCAUGAUAGGAAAGAUUUAGAAGUCCUUAAGGAUGCAGGUGAAAGAGGGGAAGGUUGGUCAGGAUAGAGCAGUGAAGAGACAUUUAUAUAGAAAUGAAACUAUCAUCUGAUUUCAAAGAAAAAUAAAAACCUUUUCUUUUUCCACAUUAAAACUGAAGGUAAUGUAGGACAUAUGACUUCUCAACUCUACUUGAAAAUGAUAAGAACUCUGUUGAAGAAAAAAAUUGAGCUAUGAAUUUUUCAUUAUAUUUGAAAGUAGUUGUACAAGUUUAUGGCAGAUGAAUUCCGUUACAGUAUCUUUGGUUUCUGGUAUAACAAAUUCCUCACAUAAUAAAUCUUUUAUGACUCAAGAAAACUGUAUUUUUUUCCUAAAUAAACUCUUUCCUAUGAGAUGUUUUUCAAAAAGUGUAACAACUUUAGAAACCUUCAGUCGUGGCAUCUAUUUUUUGCUUUUGGCACAGUGAGACCAGUUCUUUAAUUCACAAAGGUAAUGCGGGUGUUCACAUUCCCAGGAAAAGCUAGCUUUUUUUGGUGGAGAAAGUUGCUUCUUGCUGUGUUUGUGAACAGAGGUGUGACCAACUUCACCACACUUUCUGCCCAGCGUUCUCAAGGCUGGGGGCAGAUUAUCCUGAUGGAUCUUCAUUGCUACUAUUGUAGCUGACUUUUAGUUAGAAGAGAGCAGUCUUCUACUCCAUUCUGACAAAAGCAGACAAUGAAAAGUAAACAGGAGAACUUUCUUCUCUUUGAGCCAAAAUAUCCUGUAGAGAAAGUAGCUUGCUAAUAGCAGUGCAACUGAAGCCCCCUUUUUGAUAAAAUCAAAGAGAACCAAGGCCCAGGAAUCAGAGUAGCUAAAUCAACACAAAUAUCAGAAAACAGGUCUUUAUCAGUUCAGUCAGUCAUUAUAUUUUCACAAGACUUUAUUUCAGAAUAUCACAACCUUGGUGUUAUCAACAUUUGGGGCUAGGUAUUUCUUUGUUGUGGGGACUGUUUUAUGCAUUGUAUAAUGUUUUGCAGCAUUUCUAGAUAUGCCUACUGGAUUAAUGUCCACAGCAACUAACUCCCUUUGCCCAGUAGUUGUGACAACCAAAACAUCUCCAGACAUUGCCAAAUUCCUCCUGAGAGUAACAUCUCCACUGGCUGAAACUAUUGCUUAUUGAAACAUAUGCAUAAAUCCUGGUAUAUAAAUAUUUAUUGAGUGAAUAAAUUAGCAAGUGAAGGUGAUUAAAUUGCUUAUCCCAUUGCCUGAUAUACAGUUGAAUACUUAGCAAAUAAUAAUUCUCCCUCUCAAAUCCCAGGUGUGAUAUAACUAAAUUGCCAAGAUGAGUUCCAAUUCUUGCCUUGGGAGGGUAGUUCAUCAAAAAUAGAUGUUUGUGAAUGAAAAAUACAUAAUGAAUUUCCAGUUGACAUGGACUCUUGAAAGUAAAAUUUGUCUCUGCACUCUACUAAUACCCCAUUGAAACAACAGAUUUUUUUUUUUUAAAAGCAUAAAUUCUCCCAAAUGGGAAAGGAGAUCAUAACAGUAAAAUUCCAGGGACCAAAAACCAAAACAAUACAUGGUAAAUAUUUUAGCCCACCUAAAAAAUAAUUUCAAGUUGGCAAUGGUGAAAGCUGUGAAGCACCAUGAUUUGCACACACACUUACCCACAAACACACCCCAGUGCUCAUGAAUUCAUGGCACCAGGUUCCAUUGGAAGUGAAAAUAUCAU